rnacentral:rRNA from 1 species
UGAGCAAUCUGCCCAUCUCUUUGGAAUAAGCGUUGGAAACGACGUCUAAUGCCGAAUACGACCUCCUUUCGCAUGAUCGGAGGUGGAAAGCUCAGGCGGAGAUGGAUGAGCUCGCGGCCUAUCAGCUAGUUGGUGAGGUAACGGCUCACCAAGGCGACGACGGGUAGCUGGUCUGAGAGGAUGGCCAGCCACAUUGGGACUGAGACACGGCAGA